CAUCUUCGGGGCAGGGUGCAAUUCCCUACCGGCGGUUAAAGUCCGCGAGCGUAAGCUGAACCGGUGAAAUUCCGGUACCGACGGUUACAGUCCGGAUGGAAGAAGAA
rnacentral:ncRNA from 1 species